AGUUUUUCCACUUCCUGUUUUCCCCUUUCCUGCUGCAGCUUUACGCCUGCCUUUGAGCACUUUUCUCCCCACACCUGUUUUCCGUUUGUCAUUAGCAUUAAGUUGAGCUUGUGACAGUUUUUGUUGUUGGGACAUUAUUCCCAAUUCACUGGUCACUAUUGAUGAUUCCUUCCCUGCGGAGCUCAAGUACGCACAUGAAGACCGUCUCAUAAUCGUCACAAAGAAAUGGGCGUCUUUUCGUGUUGUCUUUGCCAGUUUCGGGUCCUAAAUGGCUGUCAAAGUGUACCAACUUGUCGGAAUACCCACUCAGACGUCUUCUGUCCAGACCAAGAUCCGUGUCUACAGGGCUGUUGUGAUUCCAACCCUUCUACAUGAGUCAGGGAGUUGGACUCUCUAUCGGAUAUAUAUCAGGAUCCUGUAGAGGUUUCACCAGCAAGAGUUGCGGGCAAUCUUGGUAAUUGCCUGGGAAGAUCGCUUCACCAACAAUCUCCCUAGGUCGUCCUCAGACGAGCCUUCCAUCGUUGUCUCCAGUCAUCCCGGUUCUCCGUACAUCUGGCCAGCUCGUUGGUGCUUUGUACUCCCGCAUCAUUCUUGAGUACAUCCACAUAUGUUACAGUGGGACGUCCUCGUGACCGGUGCCCAUGUGUUGGCUCCCACAGUACCAGUUUGCUGGCUGGCAGCUCCUGGUGUCUUUGGCAGUGUCCUGCUUGUCUCAUUCUCCUGGCUGCUAUUUUGUCGCUCACCCAUCCAGCAUACAAAUUCUUGUUGGUAACAUGCGUACUCUUUCUGAUGUUGAGCACUACACGUAGCAUUCUGGUGUAGCACCCGUCUAGAGACUUCUGCAGUGUUGGCUUCAGGGUCCAGCAUUCACUUGCCAUAUAGGAGAACAGAUUCCACAGUCGCGUAGAAGAAGCUGAGUUUGAUUUGUCGGUCGAACAAUGAUGUUCUAACAUGUGCCGGCCUCCCGAGCAUGGAAGCGAUCAUCGCCAAGAACCAGCUGUGUUUCUUCUGUCAUUUAAACCAUAAUGAGGAAUCGUCCCUCCCCAAACAGAUCCUGUUUGGUGAACUGGCCCAUGGUUCUAGACUGCUAGGGGGACACAAGAUACGGCAGAAAGACCAGUUUAAACAACUACUAAAACAGAGCAGGAUUCCUGUGGACAACUGGUAGACCCUGGCAGUGGACCGCACAAUCGCCACCGAUGCUCAGAAACUUGAGACCGAGCGAGCACGAGCAGCAGAGAAGAAGCGCCCACUGAGACAGCAACGUCUUUUGCUACCCUGUCCACCUCCAACACUUCCGUGCCAAGACUGCCCCCGGCUUUUCCACACACAUCUUGGACUCCACAGUCACCAGCAGGCACACAGGCAGAGAGUCCAGCAAGCUCAGCUAGUCCAGAAGGAGAAGAAAUGAAUAAUGGAGAAUGGAUCCUCGUUUUUGAGGCUGCCAUGAUGAACUUUUUAGCAAAAAUAUCAAAUAAUCAAGCC